GCAUUUAAUCAGAUUUUUCAUUUUUUGUCAUCCUCAUCAAUUCUAUAUUUUUUUCUGUCUUUUAUUUUCCUCCCAUUAUUUGAACUCCUGUUUAUCCUCUUUUCAUUUUCCUCCCUCCACAUUCACAAUAUCUGCCCAAUAUCUUAUCUGCCUAAUUUCUUCUUCUCCUGUGUUUUUUCCUCCUGACCGCCUGUGCUCCGAUCACCUCCUGUUACAGACCCGUUUUUUUCUUUAACGUCUUUCGUGUUUGUGCGUCGCGUCCCGUCGUCACCUGUAGAAAAACAUCUUCCCUCCGUCUCAUAUUCAUCCUCCUCUCAUGAAUGCAGGUAUCUCGUAUCAUAUGACAUGUGAUACGGGAGGCGGCGGGGUGAUGAGAGUCUGUCCGGCCGUUGUCAUGGAGACGAUCGCGGUGACGCUGAUGUACCGGACGAGUCCGACGGGACGACGCUUCAAAAUCUGUGAAGUUUGUGGGUGAAGUCGUUGUCAAAGUGCCACACCAUGUCCAGAAAACUCAGCGCGAUGCGGUGCACCAUCUCCCGGGUAGUCCACCUCCCUCGUGGCCCAGAACCAGCCACCUCCUCCAGGGAGAAGAUGUUCUGGUCCCAGGCGUGUCCAGCAGACAGGCCUCCAGAUAAGCAGCAGCACAGGUCACUUCGCUUCGCCGGUUUUAUUUUUGGACUCGGUGGAGUUUUGGCUUCCAGCCUGUUGGGUCGUCUGAGCAUCUGAAAACAAGCUGGUGCCUUUCUGUCUUCGUCCUCCAGCUCUGCCCACAGUAAUUCUCACAUUUUCAAGGCUGAGAUGAACUCAUUUGGUAACUAAAUACUAUAUCCCACAUUUAUUUUUUAUUAUUUAUUAGGGACUUUCUUUUGUUGUAUGAUGGAAACUGAGUCACUGUCAUAAAGAACUGUAAAAAUCUUUUUUAACUGUUGUGGAUGAAAUCUGUAUUUAAUAAAUAUUUUAUGAACAUGAAAUGUUGAGAAGUUUAAUGAAAUGCUUGGAAUAUAAGUGGAGGCUAAUUCAGU